rnacentral:rRNA from 1 species
GACAGAGGGUGCAAACGUUGUUCGGAAUUACUGGCGUAAAGCGCGUGUAGGCGGCAGCGUGUGUCGGGCGUGAAAUCCCAUGGCUCAACCAUGGAAGUGCACCCGAAACUGCGGCAGCCUAGAGUCCUGGAGAGGAAGAUGGAAUACUUGGUGUAGAGGUGAAAUUCGUAGAUAUCAAGUGGAACACCGGUGGCGAAGGCGGUCUUCUGGACAGUGACUGACGCUGAGACGCGAAAGCGUGGGGAGCAAACAGG